rnacentral:rRNA from 1 species
AGUGAACGCUGGCGGUAGGCCUAACACAUGCAAGUCGAACGGCAGCACAGUAAGAGCUUGCUCUUACGGGUGGCGAGUGGCGGACGGGUGAGGAGUACAUCGGAAUCUACUUUUUCGUGGGGGAUAACGUAGGGAAACUUACGCUAAUACCGCAUACGACCUACGGGUGAAAGCAGGGGAUCUUCGGACCUUGCGCGAUUGAAUGAGCCGAUGUCGGAUUAGCUAGUUGGCGGGGUAAAGGCCCACCAAGGCGACGAUCCGUAGCUGGUCUGAGAGGAUGAUCAGCCACACUGGAACUGAGACACGGUCCAGACUCCUACGGGAGGCAGCAGUGGGGAAUAUUGGACAAUGGCGCAAGCCUGAUCCAGCCAUACCGCGUGGGUGAAGAAGGCCUUCGGGUUGUAAAGCCCUUUUGUUGGGAAAGAAAAGCAGCAGGUUAAUACCCCGCUGUUCUGACGGUACCCAAAGAAUAAGCACCGGCUAACUUCGUG